GACGAACGCUGGCGGCGUGCUUAACACAUGCAAGUCGAACGAUGAAGCUGGAGCUUGCUCCGGUGGAUUAGUGGCGAACGGGUGAGUAACACGUGAGCAAUCUGCCCUUGACUCUGGGAUAACUGCGGGAAACUGUAGCUAAUACCGGAUACUUUCACUGGAAGGCAUCUUCUGGUGAAGAAAGCAUUUCGGUCAAGGAUGAGCUCGCGGCCUAUCAGCUUGUUGGUGAGGUAACGGCUCACCAAGGCGACGACGGGUAGCCGGCCUGAGAGGGUGACCGGCCACACUGGGACUGAGACACGGCCCAGACUCCUACGGGAGGCAGCAGUGGGGAAUAUUGCACAAUGGGCGCAAGCCUGAUGCAGCAACGCCGCGUGAGGGAUGACGGCCUUCGGGUUGUAAACCUCUUUUAGUAGGGAAGAAGCGAAAGUGACGGUACCUGCAGAAAAAGCACCGGCUAACUACGUGCCAGCCGCCGCCGUAA
rnacentral:rRNA from 1 species